AGUACGAUAAGCUAAAAAAGCUCUUGGGCCCAUACCCCAAAUAUGUUGGUUAAAUUCCUUCUCAUACUA
rnacentral:tRNA from 1 species